rnacentral:tRNA from 1 species
AUAACAUAAGACAGGAUAA